UACGAAGGGGGGCUAGCGUUGCUCGGAAUCACUGGGCGUAAAGGGUGCGUAGGCGGGUUUUUAAGUCAGGGGGUGAAAUCCUGGAGCUCAACUCCAGAACUGCCUUUGAUACUGAAGAUCUUGAGUUCGGGAGAGGUGAGUGGAACUGCGAGUGUAGAGGUGAAAUUCGUGAGAUAUUAGGAAGAACACCAGUGGCGAAGGCGGCUCACGUGGUCCGGUACUGACGCUGAGGUGCGAAAGCGUGGGGAGCAAACAGGG
rnacentral:rRNA from 1 species